AUGAAACUUCCGAAAUCUAAGGGAGGAAUGGGGUUCUGUGACAUGCGUGUAUUUAAGAAAGCCUUGUUAGCCAAACAGACGUGGAGACUAAUUGAGAGUCCGGAUAGCCUGUGUGCUCGACUCGUAAAAGCAAAGUACUAUCCGAACGGAAAUAUUUGGGACACGGUUUUCUCUGGUAGUUCUUCAGCCAUAUGGAAGGGUAUCGUUCAUGGUUUGGAUAUAGUACAAAAAUGGUUUUAUAUGGAGAGUUGGGAACGGAACCUCGAUCAGGACUUAGAGGGAUCCCUAGACCCCACACGGUGUUGA
rnacentral:rRNA from 1 species